GGCUAGCCAUUUGAUGAUGGUUUUCGCGGGACAGCGCUGUGCCGCGGAUGAAAAGGGAAUGCGGUGCGCUUGGAAAAGGGCAAGUCCGCGACUGUCCCCGCAACUGUAGGCGGUGAGCGACCCCGGAACGGCCACUGGACCUGAUCGGUCCGGGAAGGAUCGGGCGAGCGAUGACCCGCAAGUCAGGAGACCUGCCAUCGUUUGUGUAACCGA
rnacentral:ncRNA from 2 species